CCUACGGGGGGCAGUAGUGGGGAAUAUUGGACAAUGGGGGGAACCCUGAUCCAGCCAUGCCGCGUGUGUGAAGAAGGCCCUCGGGUUGUAAAGCACUUUCAGUGAGGAAGAACGCCUGGUGGUUAAUACCCAUCAGGAAAGACAUCACUCACAGAAGAAGCACCGGCUAACUCCGUGCCAGCAGCCGCGGUAAUACGGAGGGUGCGAGCGUUAAUCGGAAUUACUGGGCGUAAAGCGCGCGUAGGUGGCUUGAUAAGCCGGUUGUGAAAGCCCCGGGCUCAACCUGGGAACGGCAUCCGGAACUGUCAAGCUAGAGUGCAGGAGAGGAAGGUAGAAUUCCCGGUGUAGCGGUGAAAUGCGUAGAGAUCGGGAGGAAUACCAGUGGCGAAGGCGGCCUUCUGGACUGACACUGACACUGAGGUGCGAAAGCGUGGGUAGCAAACAGGAUUAGAUACCCCAGUAGUC
rnacentral:rRNA from 1 species